GUCAAGUCUCGUGUGGUAUUUUUGCCCCAUCCUGUGAGCUCAAUCAAGAUGGACUUUAACGAAGAAAAACCAUUUUUUUAUGUGAACAAUUGUACCUGACUCAAAUGCCAGUAUGGAUAACUCCUGAUCCUAAACUAUUUACCCUUCCUGUACGUCCCUGGCAUUUAAUAAACGAUAAUAAGUGAAAGGUUGUUUUUUUAUCCUGACAUCACCUUUUUGAAUGGAACACCCUGUAUUUUUAAUCUUUGGACGAUAUUAAAAUAUUCUCUUCAUAAGUUGUAAUACCAGUUUGGUGUUAUAUUUUGGAAACGAAUUUAAUGUACCUUUUUAGAUUAAUAUAUACAGGGUGUUCCUUUUUAAAAAUUAGCGUUUUUCCACAAAUUUUUUUACCUGAUCCCUUCUACUUAUUCUAGGAACUGCCACAUGCGACGUGGAUAAUAGUUUUUUUAAUAGCAUUAUCGAUUACGGAGAUGACUAUUGCAAAUAUGAGACACCCUGUACCCAUUUGUACAGGAAAAAGUUGUUAUUUUUAUGUUUAUUUUACAGUCAAAUCUAGAGUGGUGUUUUUGCCCCAUCCUGUGAGCUCAAUCACGGUCGCCAAUCAAAGAUGGACUUUACGAAGAAAAACCAUUUUUUUAUGUGAACAAUUGUACCUGAGUCAAAUGCCAGUAUGGAUAACUCCUGAUCCUAAACUAUUUACCCUUCCUGUACGUCCCUGGC